CCCCCUCCUCCCCCCUGCCUUCUUCUUCUUCUUCUUUCCCACAUAUACCACUCCCUCAACCAUUUUCUACUAUAGCCACCACCCUCUCCACCAAUCAGCCACCUAACCUCUUUCCCUCUCCUCCUCCUUCACUGGCGCCGCCCUCUUCCUCCUUUAGCUCGCCGGAAAAAGAAGAAAAGUUGGUGGAGGAGCUGUGCUUCGGCUACCACUUCUAGAACAGCGUCUUACCAGCCAUAUUUUGCAAAUCUGACAUCAGAAACAGACUCCCCACCACUAGAAACCUUAAGAGCAAUCCUUCCUUCUAUUUUUUCAUCGUCGGAAGCUCUGUCCAAGACUCAACAGAGCUGAAGCUUUCCGGCCUCAAUCCGGUGGCUUCCGGUGAGAUUUCGACAAAUAUAUUUAUAUAUUUGGACUCCUAGCAUCUCAAGUUUCACAUAGGAGCUUCCGGAUUCGAAAUCUGACUAUACCGGCU
rnacentral:lncRNA from 1 species